UAAAAAUGACAUCUCUAAUUAAUUAAGGUGGAUUGCAGAUGGAGUAAACUCAGAUGUACCAACAUUUUGUAGUUGACCUACUUAAGGCAAUAAUGAAGACUUCGGAGCUCCACUUCAUAUGAUAAUGGUUCUUGUCGAAUGGUAGAUUUCCAGAUUGAGAAAUUGAAUAGGGUUCUUCGGGGGUUCGUUGAGUUGAUUUUAGAUGGAGCCAUUAAUAUCUCGUCUACCAUCGGAAGGAACACAGUUUGAUCCAGGUAAGCUUUCAUCAAUAUUCAGCCAAUAUAUCUUCAUGAUAUGAAUUUUUAUGGAGGUGAAGAUGUGAAGUUAAGUGAUUCAAUCAAUGAUGUAAGGGUGCUUAGUUUACGGAAGUAUUUAGCACUCGGUCACCGGAAGUCCACAUUCACCAUGUGAAGAAUUUGAUGCUUGAAUCAAACAUCCCGGAUGACACUUUCAAGGUUGUUAAAGCAUUGGGGGAUCCUAAUAAUGACAUCUCUAAUUAAUUGAGGUGGAUUGCAGAUGGAGUAAACUCAGAUGUACCAACAUUUUGUAGUUGACCUACUUAAGGCAAUAAUGAAGACUUCGGAGCUCCACUUCAUAUGAUAAUGGUUCUUGUCGAAUGGUAGAUUUCCAGAUUGAGAAAUUGAAUAGGGUUCUUCGGGGGUUCGUUGAGUUGAUUUUAGAUGGAGCCAUUAAUAUCUCGUCUACCAUCGGAAGGAACACAGUUUGAUCCAGGUAAGCUUUCAUCAAUAUUCAGCCAAUAUAUCUUCAUGAUAUGAAUUUUUAUGGAGGUGAAGAUGUGAAGUUAAGUGAUUCAAUCAAUGAUGUAAGGGUGCUUAGUUUACGGAAGUAUUUAGCACUCGGUCACCGGAAGUCGACAUUCACCAUGUGAAGAAUUUGAUGCUGGAAUCAAACAUCCCGGAUGACACUUUCAAGGUUGUUAAAGCAUUGGGGGAUCCUAAAAAUGACAUCUCUAAUUAAUUAAGGUGGAUUGCAGAUGGAGUAAACUCAGAUGUACUAGCAUUUUGUAGUUGACCAGCUUAAGGCAAUAAUGAAGACUUCGGAGCUCCGCUUCAUAUGAUAAUGGUUCUUUUUGAAUGGUAGAUUUCCAGAUUGAGAAAUUGAGUAGGGUUCUUCGGGGGUUUAUUGAGUUGAUUUUGUAGGGAGCCAUUAAUAUCUCGUCUACCGUCGUAAUGAACACAGUUUGAUCCAGGUAAGCUUUCAUCAAUAUUCAACCAACAUAUCUUCAUGAUAUGAAUUUUUAUGGAGGUGAAGAUGUGAAGUUAUGUGAUUCAAUCAAUGAUGUAAGGGUGCUAAGUUUACGGAAGUAUUUAGCACUCGGUCACCGGAAGUCCACAUUCACCAUGUGAAGAAUUUGAUGCUUGAUUCAAACAUCCCGGAUGACACUUUCAAGGUUGUUAAAGCAUUGGGGGAUCCUAAUAAUGACAUCUCUAAUUAAUUAAAGUGGAUUGCAGAUGGAGUAAACUCAGAUGUACCAACAUUUUGUAGUUGAACUACUUAAGGCAAUAAUGAAG